rnacentral:rRNA from 1 species
AGAGUUUGAUCCUGGCUCAGAGCGAACGCUGGCGGCAGGCCUAACACAUGCAAGUCGAGCGCCCCGCAAGGGGAGCGGCAGACGGGAGAGUAACACGUGGGAACGUACCCUUCAGUUCGGAACAACCCAGGGAAACUUGGGCUAAUACCGAAUACGUCCGUAAGGAGAAAGAUUUAUCGCUGAAGGAUCGGCCCGCGUCUGAUUAGCUUGUUGGUGAGGUAACGGCUCACCAAGGCGACGAUCAGUAGCUGGUCUGAGAGGAUGAUCAGCCUCACUGGGACUGAGACACGGCCCAGACUCCUACGGGAGGCAGCAGUGGGGAAUAUUGGACAAUGGGCGCAAGCCUGAUCCAGCCAUGCCGCGUGGGUGAUGAAGGCCCUAGGGUUGUAAAGCCCUU